rnacentral:rRNA from 1 species
GACAGAGGGUGCAAACGUUGUUCGGAAUUACUGGGCGUAAAGCGCGUGUAGGCGGCCAUGCAAGUCGGAUGUGAAAGCCCUCGGCUCAACCGGGGAAGUGCACUCGAAACUGCAAGGCUAGAGUCUCGGAGAGGAUCGUGGAAUUCUCGGUGUAGAGGUGAAAUUCGUAGAUAUCGAGAGGAACACCGGUGGCGAAGGCGGCGAUCUGGACGAUGACUGACGCUGAGGCGCGAAAGCUAGGGGAGCAAACGGG